UAGAGAGAAAGAAAAUGAUAUAUGUCAGAAACUCAGAUAUCCGUAAAGAAAGAAAGCAUUGGGAAAAGAAUAAAUGAAGCAUAAUUUCCUUGAGGUUCUUCCAAGUUGUUGCCUGUGUGAAAGGUUUGUUCCAUUUUAUGGCUGGAUCGUAUUCCAUGGUAUGGAUGUCCCAUAGGUUCUUUAACCAUUCACCAUUACAGGACAUUUGGGUAGUUCCUAGUGUUGGGCUGUUAUGAAUGAAGGUGCUGGGAGUCAGUCUUCAUUUUCUCUGGUACACCAUGAGUGACACCACGAGUGCCCUUGCUGGAUCAUAGGAUGAGUCCAUGCUUAGUUUCAAAAGGAACAGCUGGGUGCUUCUCCAGAGUGGAUGCAGUCUUU
rnacentral:lncRNA from 1 species